AUGUCUGUCUUCAUACCGAAGAAAUUAUGCAAAGAAAUGACUGAUGCAAUGUCUGAAUUCUGGUGGGAAGAUAUAGAGGACCAAAAACGUAUGCAUUGGAUGGCAUGGUGGAGAAUGUGCAUCCCAAAGAAGGAUGAAGGUAUGGGCUUUCAUGAUCUGCACUCCUUUAAUCUAGCUAUGUUGGCAAAACAAUCAUGGAGACUCAUUUCAAAUCCAGAUUCUCUGUGCGCCAAAGUUCUUAAAGCUAAAUAUUACCCAAAUUGUCACUUGUUGAAAGCGGGUCCGAAGAAGGGGUCAUCUUUUACCUGGCAAAGCAUAGUGGCAGGUCUAUGUACUUUUUUUGUGGAGGACACAUUUGGAGAGUGGGUUCAGGGGAGAUGA
rnacentral:rRNA from 1 species